AACUCACCGAACUUAACACACACAUCAGGACUGGCAAAAAUUGCGAUCUAAUAAAAAAACCUAACCCCAAAUCUCAAAAUUGUGCUCUAGCGCAAUUUUUUUAUGAAACGCACAAAAAACUGCUCCUCGGAUGAAAAAACGGACAAAACUGCCUGUAACUCCCACUGGGAAGGUCGGAGAGACAUGAAACAAAAACCUCUAUGUAGGUCUCACUUAGACCUCCAUUUCAUAAAUUGACAACCCCCAGCAAAAAUCAACAGGAAGUUUGCUAUUCCCCCUUCAAAACAAAUUUUUUGUAAAAACCGGUCACCUUCCUUCAAAAACUAUCUCCUCUGAGCGCGUUUGUCUUUUCGCCUUCCAACUAACACAGGAGAGAGAUUGAACCCUUGUGAUUACAAUGACAGAAGCGCUUUUUUUCUAACUGCUCCGGUUUUGAUUUUAUGACCCUUCAAAGACCCGCUGCGCUGAUGCUGCUGCUUAAAAGCAGGAAGCACCAGCGUGCCCACACAAUGCAGACAACGUAGGUACACUAGACAAAAGUCUUGGGACACUUCAGACUAAAAGUAGACAAAAGUAUUGGGACACUUAGGACUAUCACUGGACAAAAGUAUUGGGACAUUUAGGACUAGCACCUGCCAAAUAUGCGGGCCCGACCAAUGCUGCUUGCAGCUUUAAUUUUAAAUUGAUUCUGAUAAAUAAUAUUUAUCAAAAUUAUGAAUCGAUUCAGGAUACAAAUCGUGAUUCAGAUGUGAAUUAUUUUUUUGUGCACCCUUAUUUAUAUCACGAUGGGGAAAUGAUUUUGUUGCAGUGCAGAUUCAAAAAGUCCACAAAAAGUAUUAAAAGCUGAAGUUCUGCCACCUUGUUGGGGUUAAAACCAUUGAUUGAUUGAUUGAUUGAAACUUUUAUUAGUAGAUUGUACAGUACAUAUUCCCUACAAUUGACCACUAAAUGGUAACACUCCAAUAAGUUUUUCAACUUGUUUAAGUCGCGGUCCACGUUAAUCAAUUCAAAAGGGAAACAUUAAAAACAACUAAGGAAGACAUAAAAGCACGGAGCUGUUGCAACCGGCUGACACUUUAGCGGCGCCAUUUUCACAUACAGCUACAAAAGUCACAUGAAAAAUGACGGGCAGCUCACAACUCCAUUCAGAAUCAAUUCUCUUCUUGCAAUGUUUGAUUUGUCAUAGUGGAACUUUUUCAAAACGGGUUACAGGUUGGAAAAUAUAUUUCUGGUUGCAUGGCCUCAAAACGUAUUGCAAAAAGUCUUAUUUUAACCUCUUAAGGCCCAAGCUGUUUGUUUACAUGCUUUUUUUAAAUGUAUCUUCGCUAUUUGGGCUUAUUCGACCCUAAUUAGAAUAAAAACUAAGAAUCAUCUUUUGAUAUGAUGUACUUAGUCCAGAAGUACACAAACGUGUACUUCAUGUUUAAGGACAUGCUAGUUCUUAUUUUUACACUUUCCCCCCCAAAUUCCAUUGUAUGUUAUACUCUUCUGACACCACCAGAUGGCAGUAUAAGUGUCCACAUAAGUGGCCAUAAGACCCCAAUUCAGUAGUGUACACCAUUUUGGAAAUAAGAGCUUACAGGUGGAACUUUUUCAAAACGGGUUACAGGUUGGAAAAUAUCUCUCUGGUUGCAUGGCCUCAAAACGUAUUGCAAAAAGUCUUAUUUUAACCUCUUAAGGCCCAAGAUGUUUGUUUACAUGCAAUUUUUUUAUUUCUCUUUGCUAUUUGGGCUUAUUCGACCCUAAUUAGAAUAAAAACUAAGAAUCAUCUUUUGAUAUGAUGUACUUAGUCCAUAAGUACACACACGUGUACUUCAUGUUUAGUGACAUGCUAAUUCUUAUUUUUACACUUUUCCCCCCAAAUUCCAUUGUAUGUUAUACUCUUCUGACACCACCAGAUGGCAGUAUAAGUGUCCACAUACGUGGCCAUAAGACCCCAAUUCAGUAGUGUACACCAUUUUGGAAAUAAGAGCUUACAGGUGGAACUUUUUCAAAACGGGUUACAGGUUGGAAAAUAUAUUUCUGGUUGCAUGGCCUCAAAACGUAUUGCAAAAAGUCUUAUUUUAACCUCUUAAGGCCCAAGAUGUUUGUUUACAUGCAAUUUUUUUAUUUCUCUUUGCUAUUUGGGCUUAUUGGACCCUAAUUAGAAUAAAAACUAAGAAUCAUCUUU